AAAAAAGUUCCCUCCCCGGCGGGGAAUCGAACCCCGGUCUCCCGCGUGACAGGCGGGGAUACUUACCACUAUACUACCGAGGAUUGUGAUUACAAACGACGAAUUUCACGAAUCUAAAUUAACGUGUUAUAAAUUCGGAGCAUAAUCGGUACCAUUUCUAUCAUAACAUUUUGCUUCAAUCGAACAAUAACAAAUUGACAUGAUACUUUGUAGAGGAUAAUGAAUCUAGCCUGAUCGCUUAUUAUUUCGAAACGUAUUAAAUUAUUCCAGAAUCUGUUUUAUAAAAUAUUUAAGAAAUAAGCAACUCUACAAUUUUACUUUUAUUAUUUUUUGUCAUCCUCAUUACCUACUUUGAAGACCAUAAUAUAAUAUUAUU